rnacentral:lncRNA from 1 species
NNUGGAGCAGCUCCAGAUUUUGGGAUCCCAGAGCUCCAGGUGGGCUCUCACCUGCCCCAUCCCAAUGCCGGAGCCGUGAUUGGGAUUUGGGACUGGGAUUUGGGGUUGGGAUUGGGAUUUAUGAUUGGGAUUUGGGAUUGGGAUUUGGGGUUGGGCCUGGGAUGUGCUGAGGCCCAGCCCCGUGGGACAUUCCCGUUUUUCUCCAGCAGGAUGGAGAACAAGGCCGUGGAUCUCCACACCUUCUCCGAGCGGGAGAACGGAUCCGUCCUGGAGGAGCCCUUCGAGGGACGGAGCCUUUCCAAGAUGAACCUCUGCGAGGACGGUGAGGGCGGAUCCGCCUCCGGAUCCACUCGGGAUCCCCUCUGGAUCCACCUUGGGAUCCACCUCGGGAUCCACAUGUGGAUCCACUUCUGGAUCCAGCUCUAAAUCCACCUCUGGAUCCACCCCUGCAUCUAUCCCUGGAUCCACCUCUGAAUCCACCCCUGGAUCCACCUCUGGAUCCACCUCUGGAUCCACCCCUGGAUCCACCUCUGGAUCCACUUGGGGAUCCACCUACAGAUCCACCCCUGGAUUCACCCCUGGAUCCACCUCUGGAUCCAUUCAUGGAUCCACCUCCAGAUACUCCCAGAUCCAGCCCAGAAUCCACCUUGGGAUCCACCCCUGCAUCCACCUCCAGAUCUGCAUUGGGAUCCACCCCAGGAUCCACCUCUGGAUCCACCUCUGGAUCCUCCUCCAGAUCCACCUCUGGAUCCUCCUCCAGAUCCACCUCUGGAUCCUCCUCUGGAUCCACCCCUGCAUCCACCUCUGGAUCCGCUUUGGGAUCCACCCCAGGACCCAUCCCUGGAUCCACUUCCAGAUCCGCCUCUGGAUCCACCUCAGGAUCCAUCCCUUGAUCCACCUCUGGAUCCGCCUCUGGUUCCCCCCCAGAUCCACCUUGGGAUCCACCUCUGGAUCCGCCCUGGAUCCACAGCGGGGGUGGGAGCGUGCGGAUCUCCCGGGAAGGAGCUCCGGAUGUGGCUCCUCCCCUGCAGGAAUGAGCUCAGCUCCGCGUUCCAGCCGGGAUUCCCGGCCCUGGGAAUGCUGGAUUCUGUGGUGGGAGCAGCACCGGGAGGUGUCCCGGCCCUGGCCCAGGUUUUCCAGGGAUUCUGCAGCUCCCUCAUCCCUGGGGUGUCCAAGGAAAGGUUGGAUGGGGCUUGGAUCACCCUGGGAUGGUGGGAAGUGUCCCUGGGAUGGGAUUGAAGGUCCAUGGAUCCCAUCCCAAACCAUCCCGGGAUUCUGGGAUCAAGGGCACUCAGGAUCCAUCCUGUGGGAUUUCUAUGGGAUUUGGGGAUGGAAAAGGGAAGGGAGACCCUGCCUGGAGUCCCCAAUUCCCAGGGAGGCUCCUGGAUCCCAAAAUUCCAUCCCAGAGAGGAGUUGGGAUGAGGAUGGAUCCAGUGCCAGGCUGGGAGAGCUGGGAAUGUGCAGCUGGAUCAGGGAAGGAUGCAGGGAAUCCUUGGAGCCUUUUCCAGAGGGAAAGGAGAGCUGGGAUUUGGGCAAGGGCU